GUUAAAAGGUAUAUUUAAGACCUGUUUCCUUCUGCGAAUGACAGACACAAGACACAUUGAAGCAACAGGGGCUAUUGCUUCUAUUUCUUCAGAUAUCUGUUUCCAUAUCAGUGCUGUGCCCAGAUGGGUUCCAGCUGCUGGGUGACCACUGCUACCUUUUCGUGGAGAGUUCUCUGCUGUGGCAGGAGGCGAGAGAAUUUUGUAGGAACCUGGGCGGUUCUCACGAAGUCGAUUUGGCUGUGUUCGACCUCACUCCUGAGGACUGGUAUCAUGUGUUCAGACAAGCUAAGCUCUUAGGAACCUCUAGCUACUAUUGGAUUGGUGGAUCAGAUAUCCCGCAUAAGGGACAAUGGUCUUGGGUCGACGGAAGACCUUUGGACCCUGAGAAAAGUUACUGGCGAAGCGAGGACCCUGCUGAUUUCACCAAUUCAUCAUGCAUCGAAAUUUUCAGAAAUUUCCGUGAAGUUAUUACCAGAUGGAGGUUCGCACUUAUCCCUUGCGAUGGAAAUGAAAGGCCAUUCGUAUGCCAGUAUGGAGUGCAUGGUCAACAAGGCUGAAUAAACUAUUCGGCACCACAGAAAGGAAAUUUAUUGUUACUCCAUAAUGAGUAGGGAGUCGUGAAUAAAUGUGUUUAUAUUCA